rnacentral:rRNA from 1 species
GACGAACGCUGGCGGCGUGCUUAACACAUGCAAGUCGAACGGAAAGGCCCUGCUUUUGUGGGGUGCUCGAGUGGCGAACGGGUGAGUAACACGUGAGUAACCUGCACUUGACUUUGGGAUAACUUCAGGAAACUGGGGCUAAUACCGGAUAGGAGCUCCUGCGGCAUGGUGGGGGUUGGCAAGUUUAGGCGGUUGGGGAUGGGAUCGCGGCUUAUCAGGUUGUUGGGAGGGUAGUGUCUUACCAAGGCUUGGGCGGGUUGCGGGCCUGGGAGGGUGACCGGCCACAUUGGAACUGAGAUACGGCCCAGACUCAUACGGGAGGCAGCAGUGGGGAAGAUUGCACAAUGGGCGGAAGCCUGAUGCAGCAACGCCGCGUGCGGGAUGACGGCCUUCGGGUUGUAAUCCGCUUUCGCCUGUGACGAAGCGUGAGUGACGGUAAUGGGUAAAGAAGCACCGGCUAACUACGUG